GGAGGCUGCUUCUCCGCUAGGACCCGGGGGAGCUGCAGGCGCCGCACGUAGCGCACGUGUUCGGCUGGGGGCGUCUCGUGGCCCCCCGCUGGUCCCGGGCACGAGGGGGUCCUCGGGGAGCCUUUGCCUCGCACUCUCCCGGGGCUGCAGCACCCCUCGCACCCCCUCCACCUUUGUUGGGGGCCGGGGGGAAAUGCUUCCCCUCCUGCAUGCUGUUGGGGAUUGCAAAGCCUUCCUCUGAAGCUAGUAUUGGCUGCUCCCCUUUCUCUGAAGCAUGCAGAGGCUGGUCCCAGAUAAAAUGGGGUGUUUUUUUUUUCCUUCCGUUGCCAGGAGCGCACUAGAAAGGGGUGUAGGUUGUAGCCGUGUCAGUCUAAGGACACGGGCAGACCAGGUUCUUUGGGUGAAUCGGAUCUUUCCUUAGACUGACUUAAACAGUUGGGGAAAAAGCAAGCUUUCGGGUUUAAAGACCCUUCGCCAGGCUGCGGUUGGCGUGUGCUCUUCCUGGACGGAAGGACUAGGAAAGAAGCCGGAGGCUGGGCUGGGAUGCCUGCAAGACAGGCCAUGGGUGAAGAUGUACAUGGAGGAGUCGUUGCUACUUUCCAGAUUGCCUUCUCCUAUUUUGAGUCCAGCCUGAACUCGGAGAUGUAUAAUUUUGCAUGAAAACGCAUCUUGUUAGAGCAGGCUGAAACUCUAAAGGAAUCCAAGUCACUCCCUUUCCACCCAGUAGAUCCCACGGAUACAUGUACACUGGUGGUAUGUACCAGUUGUUCAGAGACACAGAAGUAUGCCUGGUGCUGUCACCUGAAAAUGUGCGUGACUUGAAGACCAUUUUCCCUGCUGAUGGGCAGACCAUGCAUUUCCAGAAGGUGCCUCCAUCUGCGCAAAUCAUUCUCUACAUGUUCUCUGCUUUCUUCGAUCAGGACUCCAUCAUCAGUGAACAUCAUUCACCAGGAGGCAUCCUUCUGAAUGUCCCUGUGUAUGUAUUCAGGACUAGCUCAAAGAAGAACAGGCUCAACACAGAUGAGAAUUGUACAAAGGAUCCUAGAGCCUGAAGUGCAGAGCUCUUCCCAGAUCACAUGGACUAAAACGUGGGCCCACCAUUCACCCUUUCUGAGAACUGGCAACUCAAGUGUCUAAGGCCCAGGUAAGGGAGAAUGCUCUAAACUAUACUCUUUCAUAGGUUACUGACUUGCAUCUUUCAUUUUUAAUAUGGGGAGGUGGAGAUUCAUCCUGGUAACUUUUAUGUGUCAGUGGGUCUUAAUGCCCAGCCAUUUGCCUUUUUGCUACAACAGCUCUUGUAGACCUAAAAUAGGACUGGUCUCUGACUCUACCUCAAGGCUGAACACAGCUUUGCUCAGUCUGGCUCUAUGAUUGUGAAUAUCUUUGUUUUCAGUCCAGCAGAAAAAAGCUUUGUCUACAGGAUAUCUGGUAAAGAAAUUCAGGUGACUUACUGCAGAAGCUAUGACAAGAACAAACCAAAAGCAAUCACUGCAAAGGUCUAAAACGAGAGGAGGAAACAAAUGUGAGACUGAGAUGGGACACUCAAUGAGUGUUCCCUGGGAUAGGAAAAUAAAGGGAGGCCAGGAUGGAGAUGGAGUGGUACAAAGGGCCAGUGCCUUGCAGGGUGAGUAAUUGAGGACAGAGUACUCUGGAGGAUGGGAGUUAUGCCAAAGUGGCUAUUCUGUUCCUCUGUGCAUUCUUCCUAUUUUCCUUCGGGUGGACCACCCAUUUUUACAUUUUCACCAACUUAUAGAGUCUAGCUCCUCCAAGAAGCCAAAAAUAACUGCUCACGUCUUUCCCAAAAGAUCUCAGACUGGCCAAACCCCCUUCUCAAACCCCCCCUCUCCCAACCCUACCCCUAACAGUCCUAAAAAUUAAAAGAUUGUUUGUCUCACUAAGGGGUCACAGUCCUUUUGAUCUAUAGUUCCUUCAAAUGAUUCUCAGUUUGCUGUUCAUAUAUACAUAUACAAGUAAUGUUGGAAUAAGUCUCAGACUGGCUAGAAAACCAGUAUUGAGCCCUUUGGUUCCUGGAGCUAUGUGAUUACAUCAGACUCUCAACUUAAAUUUACAUUUUUGCUGAAAUAUAUACUCGAUGGUGGUGAUGAAAGCACAACCUAAAUAUAAGCAUUGCAACAAGUAGUGGUCCCCAUCUUUACUGGCCCAUUGGCAGCAAUUUCAAUCGGACAAUGCCCAAUGUGGACCAUAAUACUUCAGCUGCCAUUUUAGCUGCAGCUUUCGCUUUUUAAUUCUCUCUUGUGAAUGCCUCCAUUGUUGCUUGGUGAGAUCUAGGGCCUCUUCCAAUGCAAUAGCCAAAGCCUUACCAAGCUCAGCUGUGUAACACAAAACAGAGCUUCAGGUAGACCAUGCCUUUCAGGCAUCUUCUUAACUCCAGUGAGCUCUGUUUCAUUUGUCUGGUGACAAAUAGAAAGAACAUUGGAAAGGUCAGGUUUAGGUGACCUAUAAAAAGCCAAGCCAGCUCCCUGCACCUAAGGCAGAUCCAACCUGCCUGCACUUUGGAAACUAAAAAGCUGAAUAUUUUUAUUUCAGCUGUUCAGCAGUUAGUAUGCCUUGAAAUUAAAAUGCUAACAGUGUAAUAUUAGAUUUGGUUCCAGAACUACCAAGAAGUGAGCUGAAGCUGACCUUAUCAUGAGGGUCAAAUUCAGACCAAAGUCAGUAAAUUUUGGGAUUCACGGGUCCCUUUCGAACAGAAGGAGCAGAAGGGUUCACCACCUGCAUGUGGAAUCUAAUGGCCAGAUUCUCAGCUGUUACAAGUGGGUCAAAUUCCGCUGAAGUCCAUGCAUUCAUUAGACUAUCAAAGAACUAGACCUAAUAAGUCUCUUUCCAGGUUCAGAGAAUCACAGAUUAGGGGGAUGGGAAGGAAAAUAUAUUAAGGUUUCUGGGACUCUUCAGGGAAGUGGCUCCCUGAGAAUAAACAGCUUUAGAAAUACCAGAUAUGUAUCAUAUCAAACCAAACAAGUUUUCUUGGGCAAACCAGCAGCCUGUAUAGGCUUGCAUUGCACUCAGCAUUUUAUCAUCUAGAUUAGAAAUUAGUUUUAAACCUUUCGAAAUUUGCUGGCUCAUGUCCUGCGCAAGGAUGCUGGCAACAGUAUCAGUCUCUCUUCUCAUCAAGAAAAAGAUUAAUUAGCCUGCACAAUUUUUUGCACUACUGUGACCUUGAUUAUGAAGCAUGUGUGUGUAGGGUAUUACUGGUUUGAAAUCAGCUGAUACCAGCAUGUAAACUCGUAGUGCCCUGGCUAAAAGUGAAGUUCAUAGACACUGUGAUUGCCAGCAGUUUAUCCUGGUUUUGUAGCCUAGCUCCCCAAAGUUCUGGUUUGUAUCUAGGUUGCAACAAUGGGAAAGACAAGCGUGGAAAAUACUCGGUCCUUAUAGGGGAAACUCAGUGGUUAGUUAAGUUUGAGGAAAAUGCAUUUAGAAUUACUUUUUGUGACUGCAAUAUCAGGAAAAUGCCCUGUUUGACAGUCUUUCAGACUGUAUUGGAGAGGAAAUGAUUGCUCUUGUUGGGCAAAAAUUAAGAAGUUAGCUGAGAUGGAGCACUUGUUGAAAUCCAAUCUUAUUUCCUUGAAAACAAACACAAAAAGAUGGGGUAUAGAGAAGGCAGCUUCUGUUUCUCUGGCUGAAUUACUUGCAACGUCGCAGCAGGGGAAAUAGGCCUUAUAAACAGUCUCUGUCAGCCAUUCCAAGAACUAGCAAAACUGGUAUAAAUGCUGACCUGUUUAAGAUAAUUGCCUUUAACUUUCUAUCUAGUCACAGUUUCCCAGCAUUGUUGCAAAAUGUAGUUAUCUUGGUUGGCUAAAUCAGACUUCUAUCAUACCAGACCAAAAGAAGAAAUAUGAGAAAUAAAGUGUGUGGGAAGAGGAGUGGUUGGAGACAGGAAGGAGGCAGUGACAGCAGGGAAAAUAGGUCUUAUAUUCCAGGUGAUGUUUGGGGUUUAGCUGAAGCUGGUAGAACUAAGGCUAUUAUAUGGAUCCUCCCCUCUGACUUGGUCUAGCUGUGACUUCUCUUAGGAUCAGCAAAAUUAGGUCUAAUGUUAUCAUAGUGGCUCCUGGAGCCCCAUGAGAGAGCACUGACAACACAGCUCACUUAUUGCAGUCUGCCUAUUCUUCCAGCAUCAGUAUUAGAUUGAUGACUUCAAGAAGAGGUAAUUGGUAGAAUAAAACACCCUCUAAUCAGGGCUGUUCAACUAACAUCCCAUGGGACACAUGUGGACAUCCCCCCCAUCCCCUCCUCCAACCGCUGCUGCUAAAGUCUCUGGGCUUCCCCUGCCUCCUCUGGCUUCUGCUUCUUGCCCUAGCCGCUGGGAGCAAGGCGCAGUUGGUGGAGCAUAGAGCAGCUGAGGGAACCUGCAACCAGAAGACUAAGAGGACUUGGGGACACUACAAGGCACUGGAGCACUGGCAUGAUGCAGCUGGGGGGAGGUGUGCUUGCCACAUGUGGGUGGGGGGCACGCAGUGCCAUGGGGUGCCUGCACCAUGCCAUGAUGUGUGGCUCAUAUGGCAUGCAGGCUGUGGAGCAUGUGGUCCCUGGCCACUCAGAAGUUAGACAGCCCUGAUCUAGAAUGAACUGUAGAUGAAAAACUGAGUAUCCAACAUUGACUGGCAUCUUGGAAUCACACAACAAGCAUUGUGGAGUUUGAGGAACUGGCUUCCACAAUAAAAGGGAGGAGUAUCUCCCUUUGUACAAGGAAGGAUGGAGACUAAGCCUCACCAAAGAGCCACUCAGGAGAAGAAUUCUUAAAUAAUCCAAGGAAUCUAAAGCAUGCCACCCAGUGAAACUCUGUCUCAAAUAUGCAGAAGGACAGGGGAACAGAAGGGCACCCCACCACACCACCUUCCUGGUCUGCUAGAUGGAAAGUCUGGCCAGCACCAGGAGGGGGUUGACCAGAAUGUCUUGAAACUUAGUGGGGCCAUAUAUGAAGCCAUGUAUAAACUAAAAGAUACGGGGGGAAAAGAGCAGCCAGAACCUCAGAUCAGUUCUUGAAGAGGUGGUAGCAGAGCUGUAGCCUGGCACCCUCAAGCUAGGCAUGUGGUAGGAAGCAUGUGGUUGCAGUAUGGGCAGCUUCAUAUGCUAGGUCAGCACAGAGGGUUCUACUCAGCCCUGCCUGAAAAAGUCCAGAAGGUCUCAGAUACAAGUGGUGCUGGCCAGGACCAUCUUCCAGUGCUCCCAGGGUAUUUCCAUCACCGGUAACACCAGCUGCAGAUUUUUCAACAGGGGCUCGUCUAGAAGGACUGUCCCCUGGGUGACUGCAUCUGCAAGUUUGGGAGACCUCUCAAGCAAAAGAGCUGCUUGUCAUAUCAGAGCUCUUGGAGGUGCCAGAGGAAGGCAUGCCCCUCCAGGCACCAUGCCAAAUGGCUAUAAAACAGUAAAGCUGCUGCUGCAAGGCCUGAGGCAGAAGGUGUGCACCUGGCUAUGGAUGCAAACCACUCCAGGCCCUGCCUUCCCUUGAGCAAAGGGAAGCACAGGACAUCUGUAGUGAUCUGCUGCCAUCCUGGCUAGAGAAAAUGAUAGCCUAAUACUGCAGGCUGGCCAGGAGGUUCAGGGGCAUGGGCAGGGUGUUGAACCAGCACCAGAAUAUAGACAGGACAAGCUGGCUGAUGACCUGAGAGGGAGAAACAGUGGAUGAACCUCAUCUCUGGCUUCAAGUCAGUCCCAGUUUUCAAGCAGGCAGGGGUGGCUGAGGACAGGUAGACCCUCAAAGACAGCAGCAGGCCCGUGCUCCUCUAGAUGGCUUGGAGUGCAGGCAGGAGUAAGCCCUCCUGUCACUCAGUACUUUUUCCUGCCAUGGCAGGGGGUCAGACUUGAUCUGCUCAGGUCCCUUUCGACCCUACCAACUAUGAAACUAUCAGGCCAGAGCUCUUGACCCAGUUGACCCAGACAGGAGGCCACUGAGUAGUUGAAUCAGAAAGCUUCCCAUUGAACCAGAUCAUUUAGGUCCUAGAUGGUCAGGAAGCCUUGGCUUAUAGUACUGUUCAUGGCACCAGCUCUGUCAACUACUUGCACAAGAGACAGAGGAAGGUUCAAUGGGGAUAGCAGAGUAGCUGUCCAUUCUCUCCCCCACCUAUGGAAACAUAACCAAAAGUGUAAUGUUCCAAAGCAGCACCCCAUUUAAUAAGGUAACACUAUUUUGGAGUGUUUUCACCACUUUUAGUAUGUUUCAGAGGGCUUGAACAAUUGUACAUCUGGCUCUUUGAAAUUAUUUUAAUUGUUAAGCCUUUCCAUACCCAGUAUCUCAAUCCCUAUAGUUAAAGCUGUCCUAUUUUGUAUAUACAAAAUACAAUAUUCACAGGAACUGCAGUAGGCAGAGAUUUACUUUGUUGUGUGGCAGUCAGGGCACUUCUAAUGUUUGGGAACCCUGGGUUCGAGUCCCCCUGACUAGACAGAGUAGAUAUUUAAAAACAUCUGUGUCCCUGGUGAAUGUGUAGUGAUCUUAACAGAGUGGAGAAAUCUCCCACUCCUCAGUUUUCCUGAGAAAGAUCUGUUCAGGCUUAGGCACUUAAGUCCAGGAGAGGAUCCCUGGCUAAGAAUCCCAAGUAGAAAUAGGUGCCUAUUCACCCUUUGACUUUCUUACUGGCUGGCUUUGGGAGUUCCCCAUACAGUGUGCUGGCCUCUGUGAAACUCAUUCUUAGGCACCUGAUGCCUAACUUAAAGCUUUGGAUUCCAGGAGAUGGCAAGGUUAGACUUGUGAAUUUAGCCCUAGUCUCAGAUCCUAAAAGUACGUAAGUGCCUAAGGAGCAACUUAGGUAGAAUGAAAUGCAAUUGGAAUUCAUUUAGCAUUUGAGCAAGUGAGCUUUUCCUUGCAAAAGCUUGUCUCUCUAAUACAGUUCAUCUAUAAGGUACAUCUCUACCCUGCCUUCUACCUGACUUUUGACUCAUAUGGGUGACUACUUCUCUCCAGUUAUGAAAUGUAAUGCUAAUAAUUUUAUUGGUAAAUUUAUAUAGGUGUAAAAUAAUGGCAUACCCCCAAGGAGACCUCUGAACUCUCACUUAGAUACAGGCUUCUGGUAUUAUUCAGUCUGUACAUUUUAAACAUUGUGGCUUUCCCCCAAAGUUACUUUUUUUUUUUUAAAGCAAUCUAUUUUUAAUUGAUAAUGUACACGAAUUACAAGAUUUACUUGGAACUUAUCCAAAAGUUCAAGCUUCAGUGAGAGUGUUUUAAACAAUAUACGUUUUUAAAAAAAAAAAAAAUCAACAAUUAAAUCAAUGUCAGAUCUUCAUUUUAAGUGGCAUGUUACUAUUCCAUUAUUGUCAGGUUUUCAGUUGGGCAAACUGCCACCAACGGUCUUGAGUAGACUGUGACUAUGCAAAAUAUUUCCUCCUAUUUUUACUGGUUUUUGGUAGCUCCCAGCAUUUACUGGAUACUUUCAGAAUAUACAAAGAGAAACAGUUCCUGCCUCAAACUCACAGUCUAAGGCUGGACAGACAAAUCAGCAGAGGUCGAGGAGAAAAAGGAUUUUUUUUUUUUUUACAAAUUAGUAACAUCAAUUAUUGGCAUCUUGGCACAAAUGGGUUUUUCAAAGGGACUUAAGUGAAGAGGGAAGAGGCCUUGCAGAGGAGUUCAGGCAGGCUGGGUAAUACAGAAGGGCUACAUGAAUGAAGUCACAGAAUAAACAGAUACUGUGGACAAAGGAUGCAAUGUGGGUAGAGAAUGGGGGCAGGGGAUCACAUGAAUCCCAACAUGGGAAAAUAAAUGGUUGGGUAGAUUUAUAUGGAGCCUGAAAGUCGGGGCCAGUAAUUUAAAUCUGAUGCAAUAGCAGACAGGGAGGGGUUCAAAGCAGGAGAGAUACGAUCAAAUCAAACCAGAGAGGAAGGUGAUCUUAAUAGCUUUAAAGUCAAUAUAUUAUUAAACUAAAUAAAAAUCAAUGCCUCAAAAUGCACUGAGCUCAAAGGGAUUUCAAACUGCUUUUUCACAAAUCUGGCUUUUCUGAAGAGUCUGAGAUAUACCUGGUUCAUGUCUGUGUCAUAAAUGACUUUACAAGAUGGAAGAGAUCAGCAUUACAACCAGCACUUGCCAUGUUGAAACUUUAAAAUAUUAAACAUCUUUGUUUUAUUCUGCAAUGUGCCAUGUAGUGCACAGUGAUCAGUAAAAUCAUGAACUCUUACAACAUGUCAAUAAGCAGUCAAAGGCAUGGAGUCAAUGUGCACAAGUUAAAUUGUGUUAAACCCCCAUGUAGAUGCAUUCAUUCAGCCGCAAAAUGUCUUUGUGCAGCUCUGCAGUUAUAGUCAUCCUAAGCCACUUUAACCCUAAAUGAGUAAGUGCACAUGUGGGAGCUUGGUUGAUUCUCUAGCUUUCCCGGGGUGCCUCCAUGACAUCUAUGAUUACUUAUUUAGAUACAUUAUAGUAAGCCUUGCCAGUCAAGUGAUGACGCUCAAGGGCUUGAUCCUCCUAAACCUCUGCCCUGUAACUAAUGUUUGUACAUACAAGAAGUGCAGGUCAUUUCAGUGAUACAGCUGUGAUAAGACACUCCCAUAUGAAGGUUUCCCAGAAUGUAAUCACAUCAGCAAUGACUGUCAGUAACAUCACUUUCUGUGAAAACUGGGGGGGCCUCAUGUAUAAUCUAUAAAGUGAUUGCAAGACUAGGCACAUAAAGUUGGGCUGGCCAAGUAGCUACACUGAAUAUAGCAGAAGCUAAGGACUGCAGCGCUUAGAGUUAGCAGUGACACUUCUCCCAAUGGACAAACAUAUUAGUAGUGACCUCAAAAGGUGGGAGGGAGAGAGAUUAUGUCUGCACAAUCCUAAGUGAGUCUAACUUGGAGUUGCUUGAAUUGCUACAUGAUCCUGCAAAUGUUCAUUACAGCAUAACAGCUGCUGCAUCCUCCAGAGCAGCACCCCUUGCCCUUUUGAAGAUGAUAUAAAUCUCCAUUUGUCCAUACCCUGAAUUUCUCUCUCCUAUUCCAGCAGAGCUGUGAAAAGCAAAGACAAGUCUGUUGCACACCUAACAAUUCAGCAUUGCCAAAGCACCUUGGCUAUUUUGAUGUCAAAUUGACAGUGAUUCUUCAUACAAUGUACCUUUGAAGAUGGCUGUAAAACUGUACAAAGCCAGGUCUUGAACUGCUUCUAAGCAACUCCAGCCAAAAAGUCUGUGGUAGCACAUGUAUUACUCACUGACAUGUUGCUCACCCAAAGGCAAAUUCCUCAAAGUAGACUUUGAAAUAACUGAAAAGCCACAACAGUCAGUGCUCUCAGCAUGACUGAGUAAAAAGUGUUUUUUACAAGUGACUGUUGAUUGUAUUGCAUAACAUGGUAUCUUCUAUUUGCCAAAGAUCUCUGAAAAAAGGAACAAAAUAGAUAUAAAGAGUUUUAAAAGGUGUUAGAAAUCUUUCUGAAGAACAGUAGUUGGACUCAUCUUGCCAGGUAUUGAGGUCAGGCUGAUUGGUCUCUAAUUCCCUGGAUCCUUCUUCUUCCCUUUAUUAAAGAUGGGCUCUGUAUUUGCCCUUUGCAAUCAUCCAGGACCUUAGCUAACCUCCAUAUGUUCUCAGAGAAGAUAGCUAAUGGCUCUGAAAUUAGCAAGUUUCCUGCAAGACACAACAGACUCUCAACAAGAUCCAGAACAUCCACCACCUCCUGAAAAGGUCUCACUUUGCAACCAUGAAUGUCACUAGCUAAUAUCCCACACCAUGAAGGCACAACUGCGAGCCUGAAGUAUCUACAGGAAAACAGACUACACUCAGAUUUGCAACCACAACACACCGCACAAAUUAUCCAUUUUAUCCUCACCCACAGUUCAACAGCUGACACUUGCUCCAAACCAUGGGUACAGCUGUGGUCACAAAGACAGCUCCCCAAUAUGCCAACUUCUUCAUGAGCUACCUAGAAGAGAAAUUUCUGGAAAAUUGCACCACCAAUCCUGCCUUAUACUCACGCUAUAUAGAUUAUAUUUUCAUCAUCUGGGCUGAACACCUGGACUCAUGUACUGACUUUCACCACAGGUUUAAUAACAACUACCGCCCAUCCAUCAGAUUCUCUCUGGAUUACUCAUACACUAGCAUCAACUUUCUAGAUAUCAUAGUCUAUAUCUGGGAGGGCAUCCUAUGAACUGCUAUAUACAGAAACCAUUGUAUACAGAAAAACCAUGGGCUUCUGAGAACCCGACUCUAGAUCCACAGCGAUCCAUAGCCACCACAUCUGCUCUGGAGGAGAAUACGCAUGACACCCGUCUUGCUAAAAUGAAAAUUGCCUCUACCGAGCAAGGAUACUCCAGCAGACAAAUAGACUGUAACUUUGAAAGAGCCACCCAAAUACCCUGCAGCAACCUACUACACUACCAAAGUAAGCCCCCCACUAACCGUACAUCCUUGAUUGUCACCUACCAUCCCAUACUGGAACCAGCAAAAAGGAUCAAACUACAACUUAUACUUGAAAAAGGACCAGAUCUCAAGGAAAAAAAAGAUUCCUAAGCCUCUUACUUUGCUCAGCUAAUGAUCAGAAGUAAAAUCCCUACUGAUCAACAGGCUCCUAAUGGGAUCCUCCCAACAGUACUCCUCCUCGGCCCGGGAGUGUAGGAGGGCUAUUAGGAAGGUCAAGGCAGAGAUGGAACUCAGGCUAGCGUCCAGGAUUCAGGACAACAAAAAGUCCUUUUUCAAG